GGGUAAUGGUAAUAAUUUAAUGUGAAAUAUGAAUAUCAUUAUCAAAUUAAAAGUACCACAAUUCCCCCAUUUCUCACUAUCUAAGAUAUUAAUAAAAUUAAGUUUGAUAAUUAGCUUAACAAAAGAUUUUAUAUAGAGAUUUGUAAUAAUUAAAAUACUAACAAAUACAAACAUAACAAAAUAAACUACGGUAAAAAAUACUGGAAAUAGACUAAGUUUUAGUCAGAUCUCUCUAAAAAUAUUAAGAACUUCUUUUCUGCGGAAAUAUUCAACUGAAAACUAUCGCAUAUAAUAUUUAAGCAUUUAGUUAAAUGCAUUUAGCUAUCACAGUUUUGGAGAUAUCAAGUUGACCAUCAUUACCUAAUGACCACCGUUCCCUCAGUCUCCCCUAUUUUAAUAUGGUCUGAACAUUUUUAGAAUGGUGGACGGUUAAAUUACCUGGCAUUGGUGAGGUUUAUCUCACCGAUAAAGAUUGAUUUGAAUACAGGAAAUUAUGGCAGUGGAGCUAGAAACCCAAUGGACAGAAAGCGAAGAAUAAUAGGGAUAGGUGGCACAUUUCGUAUUUAUCGAUAACUACCCAUGGUCUUAAAAGCCAAAGCCAACCAGAAGAAGAAGAAAGACGAUUUUUUGAUUGUUUUACUAAUAGACAUUUUAAACAUCAUUUAAUUACCGU